GAGAGCCGUGUGCGCCGAGAGGUGCAAGCACGGUUCGGAGGCGAGUUCUUGGAAACCUACCGUAGAAAUACGGCAAG
rnacentral:misc_RNA from 1 species